UACGGGGGGAGCAAGCGUUGUUCGGAUUUACUGGGCGUAAAGGGCGCGUAGGCGGUCAGCACAAGUCAGUUGUGAAAUCUCCGGGCUUAACCCGGAAAGGUCAACUGAUACUGUGCGACUAGAGUGCGGAAGGGGCAACUGGAAUUCUCGGUGUAGCGGUGAAAUGCGUAGAUAUCGAGAGGAGCACCUGCGGCGAAGGCGGGUUGCUGGGCCGACACUGACGCUGAUGCGCGAAAGCCAGGGGAGCGAACAGG
rnacentral:rRNA from 1 species